rnacentral:rRNA from 1 species
AGUGAACGCUGGCGGUAGGCCUAACACAUGCAAGUCGAACGGCAGCACAGCAGUAGCAAUACUGUGGGUGGCGAGUGGCGGACGGGUGAAGAAUACAUCGGAAUCUACCUUUUCGUGGGGGAUAACGUAGGGAAACUUACGCUAAUACCGCAUAAGACCUUCGGGUGAAAGUGGGGACCUUCGGGCCUCACGCGGAUAGA